GCCGCACACAGCGCAGCUCACCCUCGUUUCCGGCGCCGUGCCUUUCGCGUGUGCCCUCAAAUGCCUCUGGAACGCUUUCUCGAUGGUGCACGCGUACGAGCAUAACGAGCACCGAUACUCCUCCCUUUCAUAUCUGCGCAUUCAAAGGUACAAUAAGUCGGAACUACUUAGCUCGUCUGAAAGAUAAGUUAAACGCAAACAAAUUACACGGUGUCUUUUCAAUAAAUUUCGUUUCAAUUCUAUACUCCCAAUUCUAUGACAUAGCCGAUUCUAUAAGUGUUAACUUGUUAUAAAUAAUUAGCCUACUUUUCAUAUCUGCACAUUCAAAGGUACAAUAAGUCGGAACUACUUAGCUCGUCUGAAAGAUAAGUUAAACGCAAACAAAUUACACGGUGUCUUUUCAAUAAAUUUCGUUUCAAUUCUAUACUCCCAAUUCUAUGACAUAGCCGAUUCUAUAAGUGUUAACUUGUUAUAAAUAAUUAGCCUACUUUUCAUAUCUGCACAUUCAAAGGUACAAUAAGUCGGAACUACUUAGCUCGUCUGAAAGAUAAGUUAAACGCAAACAAAUUACACGGUGUCUUUUCAAUAAAUUUCGUUUCAAUUCUAUACUCCCAAUUCUAUAACAUAGCCGAUUCUAUAAGUGUUAACUUGUUAUAAAU